rnacentral:tRNA from 1 species
GAGGGUACAGCUCAGUGGUAGAGCAGGCGCUUAGCAUGCACGAGGUCCUGGGUUCCAUCCCCAGUACCUCCA